CAGAGGUUUACUCUAAUUUUCUAUUAUUAGGUUAUAGUGCCUUUUGCAUCAUGCUCAGGCGACUUUUUUUGAGCAAUCCUCUUAAAUCGAAAAUUUCGGAUCUUACGCUUGUUAGUCUAUCAAUGCUUGCCGAGUAGGUUGGUGCAUUAGUAAAUUGAGCGAUAUGCUGUGAAAAAUUAAUCGACGAAGUUUAUAGCUAUUUUUCAGUUGUUAAUUUUAUAUUAGUGUUAGGGCGAAGAUGUCUUAAUACAUAGUAUGCCUCGUUACAAUAGCAAUUAUGGUGAGGUUAAAGUUACCUCUAUGUCAUAGUCUUGUUACAAGGUUUAAUAUUUUGUUUGACGGCUACAUUUAUGCACUGAAUUAUACUAAAGGUUUGUUUAAUCUAUGCUUGAAUAAGUAAUUUUAAUGAGCUUGUUAUUUCUCAAGUUUCUCCCGCCUGUUUAUUAAAAACAUCUCCAUAAUCAACUAUUUAUGGUAGUACCUGCUCUAUGUGACUAAUAAAUGGCCGCAGUAUCUUGACUGUGCGAAGGUAGCAUAAUUAAUUGCCUUAUAAUUGAAGGCUUGUUUGAAAGGUUUGACGAGGGGAAAACAAAUAUUAAGUGCUUAGGUGAAAUUAUAGUGGAGGGCACAGAUACCUCUCUUAUUAAUUAGACGGAAAGACCCCGGGAUCUUUCUAUUUUGCCUGGGGCAGGUUGGAGUAGUUCAUUUCAAUUAUGACCCUUAUUGGUUUAGUGGUGUAAGUUACCCCGGGGAUAACAGUAUAAUAGCUUAUAAGAGACCUUAUCGAUUAAGUUGUUUGUUACCUCGAUGUUGACUUAGGCUAUAGUUAGGCGCAGUAGUUUAGCUUGUUAGGUCUGUUCGACCUUGUAGCCUCCAUGAGUUGAGUUAAGACCGGUGUAAGCCAGGUCGGUUCUUAUCUAUUUUUCAGGCUUGUUAGUACGAAAGGACCACAAGUUUUUUUAUU
rnacentral:rRNA from 1 species